GCCUAGACGUAAACAAUUUAUUUACAUACUUUAACGCCCGGGUAUUACGAGCAUUGCUUAAAACCCAAAGGACUUGACGGUGUCUCACCCACCUAGAGGAGCCUGUUCUAUAAUCGAUAACCCCCGCUUUACCUAACCAUUCUUUGCCUAAUCAGUCUGUAUACCUCCGUCGGAAGCUUACCAUAUGAACGCCCAUAGUAAGCCCAAUGGUCACCCACCAACACGUCAGGUCAAGGUGCAACUUAUAGGAUGGAAAGAAAUGGGCUACAAUUUCUAAAUUAGAACAAACGAAAGGCUGUCUGAAACCCCCAGUCAUGAAGGAGGAUCUAGUAGUAAAAGGGGAAUAGAGAGCUCCUUUUAACCUGGCACUAAGACGCGUACACACCGCCCGUCACCCUCUUCAAUAGUUAUUCGUCUAGAUUAUUAACAAAUUAACCACGCCUU
rnacentral:rRNA from 1 species